rnacentral:lncRNA from 1 species
GGUUUGGCAUGCCACAAAAUCAUGUUCAAUCCACAUUUUUUUCUUAAAAUGUCCUGUACCAAGUCAGGAAAAGGCCAUUGUUAUAUCAUAGUUCGUUUUUGUGUGUGUUACAUUUUUAAUGUUGUGUUUCUGUUGUGUCGUAGUUCUCGUCUUAUAUUUGAUGCGUUUCACUCAGUUUUAGUUUGUAACCCGGAUUUGUUUUUAUACGCCCGCA